GCCUGUCAUAAGAAGAAAUUGCUCUUUCCAUCAAACUUGUUAAUCUCCAUCUUGAUUGAUCAUGUCUUCUCCAUCUUCAAUCUUGCUCACCACCGCUGCAAUCUGCGUCUUUGUACCGCCUCGUUUUGAUACCACUUGUUGGAUGGAUGUCUGGCCAGGACACCACCUCCUAAGAUCUUUUCGGUACUGCACGAUAUAGCAGGAAAAAAGAAGAAAUAAAACAGAAACAAUCAAAAUACGUGGAUCAGCUAAAAAAGGGCUCAC
rnacentral:lncRNA from 1 species